rnacentral:rRNA from 1 species
GGCCUUUUGAUUAUAAUUUAAGGUCUAGCCUGCCCAAUGAUGAAGAAUUUAAUGGCCGCAGUAUUCUGACUGUGCAAAGGUAGCAUAAUCAUUAGUUUUUUAAUUGAAAGCUUGUAUGAAAGGUUUGAUGAGAAAAGAACUGUCUCAAUUUAAAAUUUUAGAAAUUUAUUUUUAAGUAAAAAAGCUUAAAUUUUCAUUGAAGACGAGAAGACCCUAUAGAGUUUUAUUUAUAUAAUAAUAAUGAGAAUUUAGUAUUUUAAAUUUUAUUAUUAUAUAAAUUUGGUUGGGGUGAUUAAAAAAUUUAAGUAACUUUUUUUUUUAUUAUUACAUUUAUUUAUGAAUAGAUGAUCCUUUUUAGAUUAUAAGAUGAAAUUACCUUAGGGAUAACAGCGUAAUUUUUCUUAGAGUUCUUAUUGAAAGAAAAGAUUGCGACCUCGAUGUUGGAUUAAAAUUAAACUUUUGGUGAAGAAGCUAAAUAGUUAGGUCUGUUCG